rnacentral:rRNA from 1 species
GCACAAGCGGUGGAUGAUGUGGUUUAAUUCGAUGCAACGCGAAAACCUUACCCACCUUUGACAUGGCAGGAAUCCCGAAGAGAUUUGGGAGUGCUCGAAAGAGAACCUGCACACAGGUGCUGCAUGGCUGUCGUCAGCUCGUGUCGUGAGAUGUUGGGUUAAGUCCCGCAACGAGCGCAACCCUUGCCAUUAGUUGCUACGAAAGGGCACUCUAAUGGGACUGCCGGUGACAAACCGGAGGAAGGUGGGGAUGACGUCAAGUCCUCAUGGCCCUUAUAGGUGGGGCUACACACGUCAUACAAUGGCCGGUACAGAGGGUAGCCAACCCGCGAGGGGGAGCCAAUCCCACAAAGCCGGUCGUAGUCCGGAUCGCAGUCUGCAACUCGACUGCGUGAAGUCGGAAUCGCUAGUAAUCGCGGAUCAGCAUGUCGCGGUGAAUACGUUCCCGGGCCUU